GCUGGGGGUUAGAGGUAGUGCUUGGGGUUAGAGGUAGUGCUGGGGGAUUAGAGGUAGUGCUGGGGGUUAGAGGUAAUGUUGGGGAGAGGACACGGUUGAGGUUGAGGGAAGCAUAUUGAUAUUGAUAGGAACUUGAAUGCCUUCACUGGGUUGAGAGACAGAACUUUCUGGAUAGUUUUUGGAUCACUGUGACUGUUGUGAUGAUGUUAGCUUGAUACUUUCUGUCUUGGGGUGUGUGUGAGGGAGACAUGAACGUGAUACGAGGACAAGCACAGACACGGUGGUUGAGGUGGAGAGGUCCCAGCUGGGGAAGGAAGUAUGUGUGUGGAUUUAGGAUGGUUCGUAGGGGGAUAUGUCUUUCAUCAAAUACUACAUUCUUUGGUCCUCUGAGACGUGUGGCAGCGCGUGCAGAGCCACACACACAAACACACUGUGCUGGGAGAGACGGCCACAGACAGAGAGUGAUAUAGUGUCAUCGUUAACUCUCUGAUAAGACACGUUACCAUGGUGUCUAAACUGUGCUGUCAGUCAUCUGAGAAACACUCACUCACAGCACAGUGAUGCUCUGUUCAGUUCCCCAAUAACUGUUGUUUUUACAGCUUAACUGUUAAAUAAAAUAAUGGCAGGUUGGAUGAAGGUUUUACGUUUUUCUCUUUAUUUAUUUCUCUCUCCCUAUCCGCUUUUCUCAUUUGUCACACACACACUCCAAACACACACACACAGAGACUCAGAGUUGUAGGGAAAACAAACACUAAACGAUAAUGUUUUGUCUCAUUAAAUUCCUCGCUUUUAC
rnacentral:lncRNA from 1 species